rnacentral:rRNA from 1 species
UGUAGCUUGACAUUGGGUCUUGGUACUACAUGUACAGGAUAGGUGGGAGGCUUUGAAACCAGGACGCCAGUUUUGGCGGAGCCAUCCUUGGGAUACCACCCUUGUAGUACUGGGACUCUAACCAUAGGCCAUGAAUCUGGUCUUGGGACACUGUCAGGUGGGCAGUUUGACUGGGGCGGUCGCCUCCCAAAAGGUAACGGAGGCGCGCAAAGGUUCUCUCAGUACGGUCGGAAAUCGUACGUAGAGGGUAAAGGCAAAAGCGAGCUUGAUUGCAAGACAUACAGGUCGAGCAAGGAUGAAAAUCGGACUUAGUGAUCCGGUGGUUCUGCGUGGAAGGGCCAUCGCUCAACGGAUAAAAGCUACCCUGGGGAUAACAGGCUUAUCUCCCCCAAGAGUCCACAUCGACGGGGAGGUUUGGCACCUCGAUGUCGGCUCAUCACAUCCUGGGGCUGUAGUAGGUCCCAAGGGUUGGGCUGUUCGCCCAUUAAAGUGGUACGCGAGCUGGGUUCAGAACGUCGUGAGACAGUUCGGUCCCUAUCCGUCGCAGGCGUAGGAAAUUUGAGAAGACCUGUCCUUAGUA